rnacentral:rRNA from 1 species
UCAAUAUAAAUUGAUUAGUAUUUAUUUAUUAAUUUAUAUGGUUGGUUUUAUAUUCUAUUAAAAAUAAUUGUAAAGAGUCUUGUUUUAGUAAUGUUUAAUGAAAAAAUAAUUUUAAUUAUAGUGUAUUAUGGUACCGUGGGGGAAUAUUGAAAUAUUUUGAAAAAUUUUUAUUUAAAAAGAAAACUUUAUUUGCUGUACCUUGUGUAUCAGGGUUUAUCAAUUAAAUAGUAUUUAUAUACUGUUCUCGAUUUUAUAAGAGUUAAUUAUCUAUUAAAUUUAAUGUAUUAUAAUUAUUUUAAAUAGAUAAUUGGAAAUGAAAUGUUAUUCGUUUAUAAAGGUAUCUAGUUAUUCCAGAAAUAAAUUUAAUUUACUAAGGUUUAAUUUUUACUUUAAUUAUAUGAGGGUAAAAAAUUAUUCUUUAGAAUACUUUAUGGGAUAAGCUUUAAAGUAAAUAUUUAAAAGUUGGUUAAUAUAUUAAUAAAUGUAUGCAUAGAAUUAGCAAUCAUUAGUGAGUUUGUUUUAAAUCAUUUUAUUAUUUAGAUUAUUUAUUUUACUUUAAUUUUUUAUGGAAUUUAUUAUUUUAAUUUUAAAGAUAAUGUAAUAAUGAUUAAAUUAGUAUACUAUUAUUGUUGAUAAUUAUUUAUUUGAUAAGUUUAUAUAAAGAACUCGGCAAAUUUUAUGCCCGCCUGUUUAACAAAAACAUGUCUUUUUGAGAUUUUUUUAAAGUCUGACCUGCCCAAUGAGUGUUUUAAUGGCCGCAGUAUUCUAACUGUGCAAAGGUAGCAUAAUCAUUAGUCUUUUAAUUGAAGGCUGGUAUGAAUGGUUGGACGAGGUAUAAGCUGUUUCAUAUAAAAUUGUUAUAGAAUUUUAUUUUUUAGUUAAAAAGCUAAAAUUUUAUUAAAAGACGAGAAGACCCUAUAAAUCUUUAUACUUUUUGGCAAAUAAAUUUUUUAGAUUAAGUUUAUUUUUGUGUCAUUAAGUAUUUUAUUGGGGUGAUAAUAAAAUUUACAUAACUUUUAAUUUUUUUUUCACAUUAAUUUAUGAAAGUUUGAUCCAUUAUUAGUGAUUAUAAGAUUAAGUUACUUUAGGGAUAACAGCGUAAUUUUUUUGGAGAGUUCAUAUCGAUAAAAAAGAUUGCGACCUCGAUGUUGGAUUAAGAUAUAAUUUUAGGUGCAGCCGCUUAAAUUUUAAGUCUGUUCGACUUU